UACGAAGGGGGCUAGCGUUGUUCGGAAUCACUGGGCGUAAAGGGCACGUAGGCGGAUUGUUAAGUCAGGGGUGAAAUCCUGGAGCUCAACUCCAGAACUGCCUUUGAUACUGGCGAUCUCGAGUCCGGGAGAGGUGAGUGGAACUGCGAGUGUAGAGGUGAAAUUCGUAGAUAUUCGCAAGAACACCAGUGGCGAAGGCGGCUCACUGGCCCGGUACUGACGCUGAGGUGCGAAAGCGUGGGGAGCAAACAGG
rnacentral:rRNA from 1 species